GAUGAAACGCAGCAAAAUGCGAUAAGUAAUGUGAAUUGCAGAAUUCAGUGAAUCAUCGAAUCUUUGAACGCACAUUGCGCCCGCUGGUAUUCCGGCGGGCAUGCCUGUUCGAGCGUCAUUUCAACCCUCAAGCCCCCGGGUUUGGUGUUGGGGAUCGGCUCUGCCCUUCUGGGCGGUGCCGCCCCCGAAAUACAUUGGCGGUCUCGCUGCAGCCUCCAUUGCGUAGUAGCUAACACCUCGCAACUGGAACGCGGCGCGGCCAUGCCGUAAAACCCCAACUUCUGAAUGUUGACCUCGGAUCAGGUAGGAAUACCCGCUGAACUUAAGCAUAUCAAUAAGCGGAGGA
rnacentral:misc_RNA from 1 species